AUAGUUUUAAGAAAUAGGUGAAAGCUCUAGUGAUGAACAUUGGCGGGAUCAAGGAAUGGAGUGGAGCUUGCGUGAUCCGACAGGAAGUGAAGCAUGCAGUAUGAUGUAUAGUGCUGUCACGCUACAUAUGAAAAGAAGACAGAAGAGGCGGCUGCUAUCGGCUCUUCUGAAAAUAGGAAACCUGCAAGAAGCGCAGCGCUGAUAGGCCGCAGCAGAGGAAAUCUGGAUUCUUUCAUUUUUGGGGCCACAGCCCAAAAGAAGGGAGAGAAAUGAGCCAUGUGUCCUCCGGCCCUAUCGGACAGGGAGACCUGGAUGAUCACGCCUGUUAUUCUAUGGUAGAAAAAAUGAACGC